GUUCUUGUAGUUGAGGUACAACGAUGUUUUUUCAUACCAUUGGUCAUAGUCACAGUCUAUGCGAGAACA
ensembl:Mt_tRNA